rnacentral:rRNA from 1 species
AUUGAACGCUGGCGGCAGGCCUAACACAUGCAAGUCGAACGAGUGGCGGACGGGUGAGUAAUGUCUGAGAAACUGCCUGAUGGAGGGGGAUAACUACUGGAAACGGUAGCUAAUACCGCAUACCAUCAGAUGUGCCCAGAUGGGAUUAGCUAGUUGGUGGGGUAAAGGCUCACCAGGGCGACGAUCCCUAGCUGGUCUGCGAGGAUGACCAGCAACACGGGAACUGAGAAACGAUCCCACGGCCUACGGGAGUCAGCAGUGGGGAAUAUUGCACAAUGGGCGCAAGCCUGAUGCAGCCAUGCCGAGUGUAUGAAGAAGGCCGUCGGGUUGUAAAGUACUUUCAGCGGGGAGGCGUUACCCGCAGAAGAAGCACCGGCUAACUCCGUGCCAGCAGCCGCGGUAAUAC